UGGGCAAUCUGCCCUGCACUCUGGGACAAGCCCUGGAAACGGGGUCUAAUACCGGAUAAUACUGUGCCCCUCAUGGGGGAUGGUUAAAAGCUCCGGCGGUGCAGGAUGAGCCCGCGGCCUAUCAGCUUGUUGGUGGGGUAAUGGCCUACCAAGGCGACGACGGGUAGCCGGCCUGAGAGGGCGACCGGCCACACUGGGACUGAGACACGGCCCAGACUCCUACGGGAGGCAGCAGUGGGGAAUAUUGCACAAUGGGCGAAAGCCUGAUGCAGCGACGCCGCGUGAGGGAUGACGGCCUUCGGGUUGUAAACCUCUUUCAGCAGGGAAGAAGCGAAAGUGACGGUACCUGCAGAAGAAGCGCCGGCUAACUACGUGCCAGCAGCCGCGGUAAUACGUAGGGCGCAAGCGUUGUCCGGAAUUAUUGGGCGUAAAGAGCUCGUAGGCGGUUUGUCACGUCGGGUGUGAAAGCCCGGGGCUUAACCCCGGGUCUGCAUUCGAUACGGGCAGACUAGAGUGUGGUAGGGGA
rnacentral:rRNA from 1 species